CAUUAUCGUACAAUGGGGGUACCCGGGUUGUCGCUGACUUUUCGUCGUGCACGCCCGAGUGCUCUCACAUACAAAUAUCCAUCUCACCCCUUUGUGCAUCACCGCGUGCGUCCCCCCUUCCUCGGAGGGGGGUGCUCACGUUUUUAAACAUCAAACACCCUAGUGUAGAAUGUUCUUUGCGCGAUCACGCGCGAAUCAAUACAACUUUCAACAACGGAUCUCUUGGCUCUCGCAUCGAUGAAGAACGCAGCGAAAUGCGAUACGUAAUGUGAAUUGCAGAAUUCAGUGAAUCAUCGAAUCUUUGAACGCACCUUGCGCCCCUUGGCAUUCCGAGGGGCACACCCGUUUGAGUGUCGUGAACAUCCUCAACCUGCUUCGUUCUAUCGAACCAAGUAGGCUUGGAAUUUGGAGGUUUUUUCUGCUGGCUUCUUCCUCUGAAGCCAGCUCCUCUUAAAAUUAUCAGUGGGAUCCGCUUUGCUAGAUCCUCGACGUUGAUAAGAUGUUUCUACGUCUUGGGUUUCGCUCGGGAAGGACCUGCUUCUAACCGUCCCCAUCGGGGACAAUGUUCGAGAGCCGAUCGCCCUUCACGGGGUGGGAAGCUUUUCGACCCAUGAAACCUUGACCUCAAAUCGGGUGAGACUACCCGCUGAACUUAAGCAUAUC
rnacentral:rRNA from 1 species